rnacentral:sRNA from 2 species
ACUUCAGGGGAGUAGCCACCAAAGAUUUUCUACCAUUAGAGAAUAGUUGGGUGAACAUCAACAUACUUGGCCACAUCGCCAUGGUGUUCACGACAAUCACACUUAAGCUGAGAUUGUU